rnacentral:rRNA from 1 species
GGGCUCACACAAGCGGUGGAGGAUGUGGCUUAAUUCGAGGCUACGCGAAGAACCUUAUCCUGGUCUUGACAUGCUUGGGAAUUCGGUUGAAAGAUCGAAGUGCCUUUCGGGGAGCCCUUGCACAGGUGCUGCAUGGCUGUCGUCAGCUCGUGUCGUGAGAUGUCGGGUUAAGUCCCUUAACGAGCGAAACCCUUAUCCCUAGUUGCCAGCGAUUCGGUCGGGGACUCUAGGGAGACUGCCGGUGUUAAACCGGAGGAAGGUGGGGAUGACGUCAAGUCCUCAUGGCCUUUAUGACCAGGGCUGCACACGUCCUACAAUGGUGCGUACAAAGGGAAGCGAUCCCGCGAGGGCAAGCAAAUCCCAUAAAACGCGCCUCAGUUCGGAUUGCAGGCUGCAACUCGCCUGCAUGAAGCCGGAAUCGCUAGUAA